rnacentral:rRNA from 1 species
UCGGGAAUUUUGGGCAAUGGGCGAAAGCCUGACCCAGCAACGCCGCGUGAAGGAUGAAGUAUUUCGGUAUGUAAACUUCGAAAGAAUAGGAAGAAUAAAUGACGGUACUAUUUGUAAGGUCCGGCUAACUACGUGCCAGCAGCCGCGGUAAUACGUAGGGACCAAGCGUUGUUCGGAUUCACUGGGCGUAAAGGGUGCGCAGGCGGUUGGGUGUGUCAGAUGUGAAAUCCCGAGGCUUAACCUCGGAACUGCGUCUGAAACUACUCGACUAGAGUACUGGAGAGGGUAACGGAAUUCACGGUGUAGCAGUGAAAUGCGUAGAUAUCGUGAGGAACACCAGAGGCGAAGGCGGUUACCUGGACAGUUACUGACGCUCAGGCACGAAAGCAUGGGGAGCAAAAGGGAUUAGAUACCCCCGUAGUCCCUGAGCGGGCUGGCAAGGCGCAU